rnacentral:lncRNA from 1 species
GCAGCAGCUGUAUGACACACUUUACCUCCAUUACCACCCUGGGCAUCUGAAUGUUGGAGAUGGGUGGUGUCACCGGCCGGUGGGGGUGGGGAGGGAUUUUUUCCAAACUGAUGGCCAUUUCACCCGGAUGUCGGUGGAUGCCCCGCACUAGUGUGCGGAAGAAGUCACCCUGUGCUCCCCCACGCAGGUGCUGGACGUCAUUGCUCCUCCUUAUACCUCUGACUUCGUGCAACUUUUCCUCCCCAUCCUGGAGAAUGACAGCAUCGCAGGUACCAUCAAAACGGAAGGCGAGCAUGACCCUGUGACGGAGUUUAUAGUCACUGUUUUCCUCGUUAAAGCUCACUGCAAAUCUAACUUCAUCAUGGUGAACUAAUUUAGAGCAUCCUCCAGAGCUGAAGCAGAACAUUCCAGAACCCGUUGUGGAAAAACCCUUUCAAGAAGCUGUUUUAAGAGGCUCGGGCAGCGUCUUGAAAAUGGGCACCGCUGGGAGGAGGUGGAUGACUUCUUUACAAAGGAAAAUGGUAGCAGCUUCAGUGAGAAACUGCCCUUACAAACAGUCCCUUCUCUGCUGUCAAUCCAAUACUGCUCCCAAAUCCUGUUUUCAGUGUUCAUUUCCCUCAAGGCAGGCGCUGGGCUCCCACGACCCCUCAGGACAGAUCUGGCCGUCAGCCGCGGGCCGCUGGGAACUCCACUCGGGGAACUCCUUUCCAAGCUGACCUCAGUUUUCUCACAAGAACCCAGUUAGCUGAUGUUUUAUUGUAAUUGUCUUAAUUUGCUAAGAACAAGUAAUAAGUAAAUUUUUAAAAAGCCUUUCUGCUGGGUUGGAUUAA